UAGGGAAUCUUCGGCAAUGGGGGGCAACCCUGACCGAGCAACGCCGCGUGAGUGAAGAAGGUUUUCGGAUCGUAAAGCUCUGUUGUAAGUCAAGAACGAGUGUGAGAGUGGAAAGUUCACACUGUGACGGUAGCUUACCAGAAAGGGACGGCUAACUACGUGCCAGCAGCCGCGGUAAUACGUAGGUCCCGAGCGUUGUCCGGAUUUAUUGGGCGUAAAGCGAGCGCAGGCGGUUUGAUAAGUCUGAAGUUAAAGGCUGUGGCUCAACCAUAGUUCGCUUUGGAAACUGUCAAACUUGAGUGCAGAAGGGGAGAGUGGAAUUUCAUGUGUAGCGGUGAAAUGCGUAGAUAUAUGGAGGAACACCGGUGGCGAAAGCGGCUCUCUGGUCUGUAACUGACGCUGAGGCUCGAAAGCGUGGGGAGCGAACAGGAUUAGAUACCCUGGUAGUCCACGCCGUAAACGAUGAGUGCUAGGUGUUGGAUCCUUUCCGGGAUUCAGUGCCGCAGCUAACGCAUUAAGCACUCCGCCUGGGGAGUACGACCGCAAGGUUG
rnacentral:rRNA from 1 species